GAUGAACGCUGGCGGCGUGCUUAACACAUGCCAGUCGAACGAUGAAGCCCAGCUUGCUGGGUGGAUUAGUGGCGAACGGGUGAGUAACACGUGAGUAACCUGCCCUUGACUCUGGGAUAAGCCUGGGAAACUGGGUCUAAUACUGGAUAUGACUUCUCAUCGCAUGGUGGGGGGUGGAAAGAUUUAUUGGUCUUGGAUGGACUCGCGGCCUAUCAGCUUGUUGGUGAGGUAAUGGCUCACCAAGGCGACGACGGGUAGCCGGCCUGAGAGGGUGACCGGCCACACUGGGACUGAGACACGGCCCAGGCUCCUACGGGAGGCAGCAGUGGGGAAUAUUGCACAAUGGGCGCAAGCCUGAUGCAGCGACGCCGCGUGAGGGAUGACGGCCUUCGGGUUGUAAACCUCUUUCAGUAGGGAAGAAGCGAGAGUGACGGUACCUGCAGAAGAAGCGCCGGCUAACUACGUG
rnacentral:rRNA from 1 species